AGUUUGAUCAUGGCUCAGAUUGAACGCUGGCGGCAGGCCUAACACAUGCAAGUCGAACGGUAACAGGAAACAGCUUGCUGUUUCGCUGACGAGUGGCGGACGGGGGAGUAAUGUCUGGGAAACUGCCUGAUGGAGGGGGAUAACUACUGGAAACGGUAGCUAAUACCGCAUAACGUCGCAAGACCAAAGAGGGGGACCUUCGGGCCUCUUGCCAUCGGAUGUGCCCAGAUGGGAUUAGCUAGUAGGUGGGGUAACGGCUCACCUAGGCGACGAUCCCUAGCUGGUCUGAGAGGAUGACCAGCCACACUGGAACUGAGACACGGUCCAGACUCCUACGGGAGGCAGCAGUGGGGAAUAUUGCACAAUGGGCGCAAGCCUGAUGCAGCCAUGCCGCGUGUAUGAAGAAGGCCUUC
rnacentral:rRNA from 1 species